AACGAACGCUGGCGGCGUGCCUAAUACAUGCAAGUCGAGCGAGAAAGUCUCUUCGGAGGCGAGUAAAGCGGCGCACGGGUGAGUAACACGUGGGUAACCUGCCCUUGAGUCUGGGAUAACCCGGGGAAACCCGGGCUAAUACCGGAUACGGCUGCGGGGUCUUCGGCUCCUGCAGAGAAAGAUGGCCUCUUCAUGACUGCUAUUUCGCAAGGAUGAGCCCGCGUCCUAUUAGCUAGUUGGUGGGGUAACGGCCCACCAAGGCGAAGAUGGGUAGCUGGUCUGAGAGGAUGACCAGCCACACUGGAACUGAGACACGGUCCAGACUCCUACGGGAGGCAGCAGUAGGGAAUUUUGGGCAAUGGGCGAAAGCCUGACCCAGCAACGCCGCGUGUGGGAUGAAGGCCCUCGGGUCGUAAACCACUGUCAGGAGGAAAGAAAAACCGGCCGGGUAAUAUUCGGUCGGUCUGACGGUACCUCCAAAGGAAGCACCGGCUAACUCCGUGCCAGCAGCCGCCGUAAGAC
rnacentral:rRNA from 1 species